UACGAAGGGGGCUAGCGUUGCUCGGAAUCACUGGGCGUAAAGCGCACGUAGGCGGACUUUUAAGUCGGAGGUGAAAUCCUGGAGCUCAACUCCAGAACUGCCUUCGAUACUGAGAGUCUUCGAGUUCGGGAGAGGUGAGUGGAACUGCGAGUGUAGAGGUGAAAUUCGUAGAUAUUCGCAAGAACACCAGUGGCGAAGGCGGCUCACUGGCCCGAUACUGACGCUGAGGUGCGAAAGCGUGGGGAGCAACAGG
rnacentral:rRNA from 1 species